rnacentral:tRNA from 1 species
GGGGCUGUAGAUCAGUGGUAGAAUGUAUGCCUCCCAUGUGUGAGGCACUGGGUUUGAUCCUCAGCACCACA